rnacentral:rRNA from 1 species
GAUGAACGCUGGCGGCGUGCCUAAUACAUGCAAGUCGAGCGAACGGACGAGGAGCUUGCUCCUCUGAUGUUAGCGGCGGACGGGUGAGUAACACGUGGAUAACCUACCUAUAAGACUGGGAUAACUUCGGGAAACCGGAGCUAAUACCGGAUAAUAUUUUGAACCGCAUGGUUCAAUAGUGAAAGACGGUUUUGCUGUCACUUAUAGAUGGAUCCGCGCUGCAUUAGCUAGUUGGUAAGGUAACGGCUUACCAAGGCAACGAUGCAUAGCCGACCUGAGAGGGUGAUCGGCCACACUGGAACUGAGACACGGUCCAGACUCCUACGGGAGGCAGCAGUAGGGAAUCUUCCGCAAUGGGCGAAAGCCUGACGGAGCAACGCCGCGUGAGUGAUGAAGGUCUUCGGAUCGUAAAACUCUGUUAUUAGGGAAGAACAAAUGUGUAAGUAACUGUGCACAUCUUGACGGUACCUAAUCAGAAAGCCACGGCUAACUACGUG